rnacentral:rRNA from 1 species
AUGGAUCUGCACCGACGACCCCAUACUGCCCAAGGUCCAUUCUUCCACCAUGCAUCGGCCACUGUCAAGAUCUUGGCGCAUGACAGAGUUACCGUGUGGUGUGGCCGGGGCUUCUUCCACUAUGACCCCUCCUGCCCUAUCUCUUCGGUGGCCCUGAUUCUUCUUCCACUCUGGGAUAGCUCGUGGAUAUGGUACAUCAUCAUCACCGAUGAAGAGGAGAAGGGGUUUAUCGUGUCAAGAAAGGUGUGUGGUGGCAGGCUUGGUCUCCGGCCUCGGCAUCUUCCGUUGGCCCCGGUGCCGUGUGGCUGA